rnacentral:rRNA from 1 species
AACGAACGCUGGCGGCGUGCCUAACACAUGCAAGUCGAACGGAAGUAAGAAGCUUGCUUUUUACUUUAGUGGCGCACGGGUGAGUAACGCGUGGAUAAUCUGCCUGAUGCUCUGGGAUAACACUUCGAAAGGGGUGCUAAUACCGGAUAAGCCCACGAGGUCUACGGAUCUUGCGGGAAAAGGGGGGGACCAUCGGGCCUUCUGACAUCAGAUGAGUCGGGGUACCAUUAGCUAGUUGGCGGGGUAAUGGCCCACCAAGGCUACGAUGGUUAGCUGGUUUGAGAGAAUGAUCAGCCACACUGGAACUGAGACACGGUCCAGACUCCUACGGGAGGCAGCAGUGGGGAAUUUUGCGCAAUGGGGGAAACCCUGACGCAGCAACGCCGCGUGAGUGCUGAAGGCCUUCGGGUCGUAAAGUUCUGUCAAGAGGGAAGAAAUGUACGAUGGCUAAUACCUGUUGUACUUGACGGUACCUCUGGAGGAAGCACCGGCUAACUCCGUGCCAGCCGCCGCCGUAA